rfam:Schistosoma rodhaini strain Burundi genome assembly, scaffold: SROB_scaffold0004472
CAACAACUGAGGAGUCCCAUAAUAGGACGAAAUGGCCAUCCACUGUUU